rnacentral:rRNA from 1 species
AUUGAACGCUGGCGGCAGGCAUAACACAUGCAAGUCGAGCGAGCGGCGGACGGAUGAGUACUGUAUGGGGACUGCCCGUUAGAGGGGGAUAACUACUGGAAAAGGUGGCUAAUACCGCAUACUAUCGGAUAACCCAUAUGGGAUUAGCUAGUAGGUGGGGUACAGGCUCACCUAGGCGACGAUCUCUAGCUGGUCUGAGAGGAUGAUCAGCCACACUGGGACGGCGACACGGCCCAGACUCCUACGGAGGCAGCAGUGGGGAAUAUUGCACAAUGGGCGCAAGCCUGAGGCAGCCAGGCCGCGUGUAUGAAGAAGGCCUUAGGGGUGUAAAGUACGUUCAGCGGGGAGGCGUUACCCGCAGAAGAAGCACCGGCUAACUCCGUGCCAGCAGCCGCGGUAAUUC